rnacentral:rRNA from 1 species
AAAUAGCAUUUAGGUUGCAGCGUCACGUGUUUCUUUGUCCGGAGGUAGAGCUACUGGAUGGCCGAUGGGCCCCGACCCGGGUUACGUGACGUCAGCCAAACUCCGAAUGCCGGUAAGUGAGAGCGUGGCAGUGAGACUGCGGGGGAUAAGCUCCGUAGUCGAGAGGGAAACAGCCCAGAUCACCAGGUCGACGCUGCACCUAAAUGCAUUU